UGGAUCCAGACUUUGAUCCUGGCUCAGGAUGAACGCUAGCGGCAGGCUUAACACAUGCAAGUCGAGGGGCAGCAUAAUGGAUAGCAAUAUCUAUGGUGGCGACCGGCGCACGGGUGCGUAACGCGUAUGCAACCUACCUUUAACAGGGGGAUAACACUGAGAAAUUGGUACUAAUACCCCAUAAUAUCAUAGAAGGCAUCUUUUAUGGUUGAAAAUUCCGAUGGUUAGAGAUGGGCAUGCGUUGUAUUAGCUAGUUGGUGGGGUAACGGCUCACCAAGGCGACGAUACAUAGGGGGACUGAGAGGUUAACCCCCCACACUGGUACUGAGACACGGACCAGACUCCUACGGGAGGCAGCAGUGAGGAAUAUUGGUCAAUGGACGCAAGUCUGAACCAGCCAUGCCGCGUGCAGGAUGACGGCUCUAUGAGUUGUAAACUGCUUUUGUACGAGGGUAAACGCAGAUACGUGUAUCUGUCUGAAAGUAUCGUAGGAAUAAGGAUCGGCUAACUCCGUGCCAGCAGCCGCGGUAAUACGGAGGAUUCAAGCGUUAUCCGGAUUUAUUGGGUUUAAAGGGUGCGUAGGCGGUUUGAUAAGUUAGAGGUGAAAUUUCGGGGCUCAACCCUGAACGUGCCUCUAAUACUGUUGAGCUAGAGAGUAGUUGCGGUAGGCGGAAUGUAUGGUGUAGCGGUGAAAUGCUUAGAGAUCAUACAGAACACCGAUUGCGAAGGCAGCUUACCAAACUAUAUCUGACGUUGAGGCACGAAAGCGUGGGGAGCAAACAGGAUUAGAUACCCUGGUAGUCCACGCAGUAAACGAUGAUAACUCGUUGUCGGCGAUACACAGUCGGUGACUAAGCGAAAGCGAUAAGUUAUCCACCUGGGGAGUACGUUCGCAAGAAUGCAACUCAAAUGAAUUGACGGA
rnacentral:rRNA from 1 species